CGGAUGCGGUCAUAAGUUGUUGAUUUCUAUAAAAACUCACGUCCGCAGAUAUCCGCUAAGAACCGUUUUUAGGGACUCAUAAUCCCUUGGUCACAGGUUCAAGUCCUGUACGGCCUACCA
rnacentral:tRNA from 1 species